rnacentral:rRNA from 1 species
GACGAACGCUGGCGGCGUGCCUAAUACAUGCAAGUCGAGCGCAGGAAGCCGUCUGAACCCUUCGGGGGGACGACGGUGGAAUGAGCGGCGGACGGGUGAGUAACACGUAAAGAACCUGCCCAUAGGUCUGGGAUAACCACGAGAAAUCGGGGCUAAUACCGGAUGUGUCAUCGGACCGCAUGGUCCGCUGAUGAAAGGCGCUCCGGCGUCGCCCAUGGAUGGCUUUGCGGUGCAUUAGCUAGUUGGUGGGGUAACGGCCCCCCAAGGCGACGAUGAAUAGCCGACCUGAGAGGGUGAUCGGCCACACUGGGACUGAGACACGGCCCAGACUCCUACGGGAGGCAGCAGUAGGGAAUCUUCCACAAUGGACGAAAGUCUGAUGGAGCAACGCCGCGUGAACGAUGAAGGCUUUCGGGUCGUAAAGUUCUGUUGUAAGGGAAGAACAAGUGCCGCAGGCAAUGGCGGCACCUUGACGGUACCUUGCGAGAAAGCCACGGCUAACUACGUGCCAGCCGCCGCCGUAAUAC